UACGUAGGGGGCGAGCGUUGUCCGGAUUCAUUGGGCGUAAAGAGCUCGUAGGCGGCUUGGCAAGUCGGGUGUGAAAACUCCAGGCUCAACCUGGAGAUGCCACCCGAUACUGCUAUGGCUUGAGUUCGGUAGGGGACCACGGAAUUCCUGGUGUAGCGGUGAAAUGCGCAGAUAUCAGGAGGAACACCGGUGGCGAAGGCGGUGGUCUGGGCCGACACUGACGCUGGAUGCGCGAAAGCCAGGGGAGCGAACGGG
rnacentral:rRNA from 1 species